GAUGAACGCUGGCGGCGUGCUUAACACAUGCGAGUCGAACGGAAAGGCCCAAACUUGCUUGGGUACUCGAGUGGCGAACGGGUGAGUAACACGUGGGUGAUCUGCCCUGCACUUCGGGAUAAGCCUGGGAAACUGGGUCUAAUACCGGAUAGGACCACUUCUUGGGUGUUGUGGUGGAAAGUUUUCGCGGUGUGGGGUGAGCUCGCGGCCUAUCAGCUUGUUGGUGGGGUAAUGGCCUACCAAGGCGUAGACGGGUAGCCGGCCUGAGAGGGUGUACGGACACAUGGGGACUGAGAUACGGCGCAGACUGGUACGGGAGGCAGCAGUGGGGAACAUUGCCCAAUGGGCGCAAGUCUGAUGAAGAGACGCCGGGGGGGGGAUGACGGUCUUCGGGUUGUAAACUCCUUCCGCUAGGGACGAAGCGUUUUUGUGACGGUACCUAGAGAAGAAGCACCGGCUAACGACG
rnacentral:rRNA from 1 species